rnacentral:lncRNA from 1 species
CAAUCAAUACAUAUCCAAAGCAUACUGACCAACUAGGCAACUCCGGAGCAAGUAGAGUGCACCAACACCUUCGCUGAGCUGAUAGCCUACUAGGAGGACUGUCAACCUAUCAAUCGGGACCUUGUAUAUUCUUCCCAACCUCAAGCUAUGCAAUUUCACGGCUCCUUAGUCUACAAUAAGAGAAAUGACACUCUCGUUAUUGUUUAAGCGUCGUAACUAUUAUGUAUCGACCACAACCUAUUUUACAAUGAAACAGACAGAACCUCCCCUAUAUAUAUGACUUCACACUAGUCAAAACAAUCACAAACAGCCCAACAUACCCCUAUCACUUCAUACACAACACGACAACCAUAAUAGUGUCAACCAACCCGAAAAUGUUACGACGAACGACCAACAAACAACCUUGCCAUUAUGUGGUGUUUCUCUACAACCUCCUUCCUCUCAAUUCCAUAAAAAUAGUAGUAAAAGAGACAACCCAAUACCAACACGAAACAUCCCAAAAAUAUUCCCACAAGUUCAGCAACUCAAAAAUAAUUUUUCAGUUUACUUAAACACAUUUCGACUUGUCUUUUCUUUCAAAUUGGGAAAUACAACUAAAAGUACAUAAUUAUACCUCUUAUACAAUAAACCUGCCAUGAAUUCCACUUAAAAAUAAGUUUACAACCAGCCAACCAUUAUACAAGAACAAACAACAUACCAUUCUUUCAAAACUAGCUAGGUCUCGAGUUACAACUCGCAAACGCAUAGAUAAUAGAAGGAGAAGCAUAAACUUACCUUGUACUGAGUAUAACCCAUGAAACCUGGUCCAUUUUCAUCAAAAAUAAGUUCCUCAACACG